rnacentral:sRNA from 21 species
GUGAACUACCAUUGAGCUGAAGACUCAGCGGCUUCUUCGGAAGCCACUGAAGACGUAGUUCGGUAGCUUCUUCGGAAGCCUGAGUUCACCAGACUCCUCAUCAGAAAUGAUGAGACCGUUUGAAAGGUCAUGACACCUGUGGUUGACGCAUCAGACCGCUGCUCUGUC